rnacentral:rRNA from 1 species
GACGAAACGAGCGAACGUUGUUCGGAAUCACUGGGCUUAAAGGGCGCGUAGGCGGGUGCUCAAGUCCGUGGUGAAAUCCUCCGGCUCAACCGGAGAACUGCCUCGGAUACUGGGCGUCUCGAGUGUGGUAGGGGUAUGCGGAACUAUCGGUGGAGCGGUGAAAUGCGUUGAUAUCGAUAGGAACUCCGGUGGCGAAGGCGGCAUACUGGACCACCACUGACGCUGAUGCGCGAAAGCCAGGGGAGCAAACGGG